GAUGAACGCUAGCGGCAGGCUUAACACAUGCAAGUCGAGGGGCAGCAUGAGACGGAGAUUCGUCUAAGUCUUGAUGGCGACCGGCGCAAGGGUGCGUAACGCGUGAGCAACUUGCCCGUUUCUGGGGAAUAACCGGUGGAAACGCCGACUAAUACCCCAUAGUAUAGCAGAGAGGCAUCUCUUUGUUAUUAAAGAAUUUCGGAAACGGAUAGGCUCGCGUGACAUUAGCUAGAUGGCGGGGUAACGGCCCACCAUGGCGACGAUGUCUAGGGGUUCUGAGAGGAAGGUCCCCCACACUGGAACUGAGACACGGUCCAGACUCCUACGGGAGGCAGCAGUGAGGAAUAUUGGUCAAUGGUCUGACGACUGAACCAGCCAUGCCGCGUGAAGGUCACGGCCCUAUGGGUCUUAAACUUCUUUUGUAAGGGAGCAAUAAGUUCUACGUGUAGGAUGAUGAGAGUACCUUACGAAUAAGCAUCGGCUAACUCCGUGCCAGCCGCCGCUGUAAGAC
rnacentral:rRNA from 1 species